ACAACAGAAACACUAUGUCUAUCUCCUCAUUUUCAUUCGAUGUUCUUUUUUUUUUACAAAUAGGUUUAUAAAUACUUUUUUUUAAAAAGCCAAUACCUCCCUUACCUAUAUACA